UACGUAGGGGGCGAGCGUUGUCCGGAUUUAUUGGGCGUAAAGAGCGUGUAGGCGGUUCGGUAAGUCUGUCGUGAAAUCCUGAGGCUCAACCUCGGGCGUGCGAUGGAUACUGGCGGCCUUGAGUCCGGGAGAGGUGAGUGGAACUGCGAGUGUAGAGGUGAAAUUCGUAGAUAUUCGCAAGAACACCAGUGGCGAAGGCGGCUCACUGGCCCGGUACUGACGCUGAGGUGCGAAAGCGUGGGGAGCAAACAGG
rnacentral:rRNA from 1 species